UACAGAGACUGCAAGCGUUAUUCGGAUUCACUGGGCGUAAAGGGUGCGCAGGCGGCCAAGUGUGUGAGGCGUGAAAGCCCGGGGCUUAACCCCGGAAUUGCACCUCAAACUACAUGGCUAGAGCAUUGGAGAGGGUAGCAGAAUUCAUGGUGUAGCAGUGAAAUGCGUAGAUAUCAUGAGGAAUACCAGAGGCGAAGGCGGCUACCUGGACAAUUGCUGACGCUCAGGCACGAAAGCGUGGGGAGCAAAAGGGAUUAGAAACCCGCGUAGUCC
rnacentral:rRNA from 1 species